GACGAACCGUCCGAACGUUGCUCGGAAUCACUGGGCGUAAAGGGUGCGUAGGCGGGUCUUUAAGUCAGGGGUGAAAUCCUGGAGCUCAACUCCAGAACUGCCUUUGAUACUGAAGAUCUUGAGUUCGGGAGAGGUGAGUGGAACUGCGAGUGUAGAGAUGAAAUUCGUAGAUAUUCGCAAGAACACCAGUGGCGAAGGCGGCUCACUGGCCCGAUACUGACGCUGAGGCACGAAAGCGUGGGGAGCAAACAGG
rnacentral:rRNA from 1 species